rnacentral:rRNA from 1 species
UUAAGCGACUAAGCGUACACGGUGGAUGCCCUGGCAGUCAGAGGCGAUGAAGGACGUGCUAAUCUGCGAAAAGCGUCGGUAAGGUGAUAUGAACCGUUAUAGCCGGCGAUGUCCGAAUGGGGAAACCCAGUGCAAUUCGUUGCACUAUCGUUAACUGAAUACAUAGGUUAACGAGGCGAACCGGGGGAACUGAAACAUCUAAGUACCCCGAGGAAAAGAAAUCAACCGAGAUUCCCCCAGUAGCGGCGAGCGAACGGGGAGCAGCCCAGAGUCUGAAUCAGCUUGUGUGUUAGUGGAACGGUCUGGAAAGUCCGACGGUACAGGGUGAUAGUCCCGUACACCAAAAUGCACAGGUUGUGAACUCGAAGAGUAGGGCGGGACACGUGGUAUCCUGUCUGAAUAUGGGGGGACCAUCCUCCAAGGCUAAAUACUCCUGACUGACCGAUAGUGAACCAGUACCGUGAGGGAAAGGCGAAAAGAACCCCGGCGAGGGGAGUGAAAAAGAACCUGAAACCGUGUACGUACAAGCAGUGGGAGCACCUUCGGGUGUGACUGCGUACCUUUUGUAUAAUGGGUCAGCGACUUAUAUUCUGUAGCAAGGUUAACCGUAUAGGGGAGCCGCAGGGAAACCGAGUCUUAACUGGGCGUUAAGUUGCAGGGUAUAGACCCGAAACCCGGUGAUCUAGCCAUGGGCAGGUUGAAGGUUGGGUAACACUAACUGGAGGACCGAACCGACUAAUGUUGAAAAAUUAGCGGAUGACUUGUGGCUGGGGGUGAAAGGCCAAUCAAACCGGGAGAUAGCUGGUUCUCCCCGAAAGCUAUUUAGGUAGCGCCUCGUGAAUUCAUCUUCGGGGGUAGAGCACUGUUUCGGCUAGGGGGUCAUCCCGACUUACCAACCCGAUGCAAACUACGAAUACCGAAGAAUGUUAUCACGGGAGACACACGGCGGGUGCUAACGUCCGUCGUGAAGAGGGAAACAACCCAGACCGCCAGCUAAGGUCCCAAAGUCAUGGUUAAGUGGGAAACGAUGUGGGAAGGCACAGACAGCCAGGAUGUUGGCUUAGAAGCAGCCAUCAUUUAAAGAAAGCGUAAUAGCUCACUGGUCGAGUCGGCCUGCGCGGAAGAUGUAACGGGGCUAAACCAUGCACCGAAGCUGCGGCAGCGACACUAUGUGUUGUUGGGUAGGGGAGCGUUCUGUAAGCCUGCGAAGGUGACCUGUGAGGGUUGCUGGAGGUAUCAGAAGUGCGAAUGCUGACAUAAGUAACGAUAAAGCGGGUGAAAAGCCCGCUCGCCGGAAGACCAAGGGUUCCUGUCCAACGUUAAUCGGGGCAGGGUGAGUCGACCCCUAAGGCGAGGCCGAAAGGCGUAGUCGAUGGGAAACAGGUUAAUAUUCCUGUACUUGGUGUUACUGCGAAGGGGGGACGGAGAAGGCUAUGUUAGCCGGGCGACGGUUGUCCCGGUUUAAGCAUGUAGGCUGAUUGUUCAGGCAAAUCCGGAUAAUCAAGGCUGAGGUGUGAUGACGAGGCACUACGGUGCUGAAGUAACAAAUGCCCUGCUUCCAGGAAAAGCCUCUAAGCAUCAGGUAACAUUAAAUCGUACCCCAAACCGACACAGGUGGUCAGGUAGAGAAUACCAAGGCGCUUGAGAGAACUCGGGUGAAGGAACUAGGCAAAAUGGUGCCGUAACUUCGGGAGAAGGCACGCUGGUGUGUAGGUGAAGUCCCUGCGGAUGGAGCUGAGACCAGUCGAAGAUACCAGCUGGCUGCAACUGUUUAUUAAAAACACAGCACUGUGCAAACACGAAAGUGGACGUAUACGGUGUGACGCCUGCCCGGUGCCGGAAGGUUAAUUGAUGGGGUUAUCCGUAAGGAGAAGCUCUUGAUCGAAGCCCCGGUAAACGGCGGCCGUAACUAUAACGGUCCUAAGGUAGCGAAAUUCCUUGUCGGGUAAGUUCCGACCUGCACGAAUGGCGUAAUGAUGGCCAGGCUGUCUCCACCCGAGACUCAGUGAAAUUGAACUCGCUGUGAAGAUGCAGUGUACCCGCGGCAAGACGGAAAGACCCCGUGAACCUUUACUAUAGCUUGACACUGAACAUUGAGCCUUGAUGUGUAGGAUAGGUGGGAGGCUUUGAAGCGUGGACGCCAGUCUGCGUGGAGCCAACCUUGAAAUACCACCCUUUAAUGUUUGAUGUUCUAACGUUGGCCCCUUACCGGGGUUGCGGACAGUGUCUGGUGGGUAGUUUGACUGGGGCGGUCUCCUCCCAAAGCGUAACGGAGGAGCACGAAG